UACAGAGGUCUCAAGCGUUGUUCGGAUUCAUUGGGCGUAAAGGGUGCGUAGGUGGCGAGGUUAGUCAGGUGUGAAAUCUCGGGGCUCAACCCCGAAACUGCACUUGAUACUGCCUUGCUAGAGUACUGGAGAGGAGAUUGGAAUUUACGGUGUAGCAAGUGAAAUGCGUAGAUAUCGUAAGGAAGACCAGUGGCGAAGGCGAAUCUCUGGACAGUUACUGACACUGAGGCACGAAGGCCAGGGGAGCAAAACCGGG
rnacentral:rRNA from 1 species